CGGCAGGUGGGAGGUGAGAGCAGUUAUGGAUAACAUCUGAGCUGUGGGUGUUGGUAGGAACUCUCCUGGCUCUGGGUGGUUGGGGUGGGGGGAAAUCAGGAGGCUCUCUGAACUGAGGGCAGCAUGAGCCUCCCAGCCAUGGGGCUUGGGGUCCCACUCCAGGCUUCUUCAUUCUUGCCCCUCUUCCCUCCUUGCUUAAGUGGUCUGUGAUGACCAGCCAGGUUCCUCAGCUACCUCACAGAGAAAAAUAUGAUCGGUGCCCUUCUUAGGUGCAGAAACAGCAAUUUACCUAAGGCCUCAAGGCCACCGCCCCGCGCAGUGCAUGGAGGUGGGAAGGGAAAGGAGGAAAGGGCUUGUCCAGAGGCCCUUCACCUCGGCCCCCGGGCUCCGCGCGACUUGCCUGGCUCCGCGGGCAGCAGGGAGGAUGAGGCGCCGUCAGGGGGCGAGGGCACCGCCUAGUUCCGCGGGCCAGUCAGGUCUGUGGGCUCCCAGUCCUCCAGCACUCAAGUCCACUCCUCCUCCACCAUAGUGGGACCUCUUCGUAACCCAGUCCUCCCAAAGCCGUCUUCCUCACCUCACCGCAGUCCUGGCCCAAACUGCCCGGGGACGGGCCCACCCAGGGGGUCCCGGCCGGGCCGCUCCUCCGCCCUCCCAUGGGACCCGCUGCGUCCUAGAGCCCCAGCUUGUCUUCGAGCUUCGCUGCCUCCCGCUCGCUGUCUGCCUCGCUCCCGCCUUCCUCCCUUCUCCCUCCUCCAGCCGCAUCAGAAAUAUAUUGUAGUAUUCUCACCUAAUCCUGUUCAAUUACAGCAUAAUAAAACACAUAAUAAAAACCUAAUUCAUUUUUCUCCCGCGCCUCCCAUCUCCCGGCAUCUUCUAGCUCGGGAUUAAAAAUUUGUCUUCAUGUUUGUGGCACCGCAAUCCCGGCGCCUCCGCAUCUUUAAUGUAUGAGCCGGGGAGCUAGAGAUCCGCGGAUUCUGCGGUCUUCGCGCCGGGAAGGCGCCUGCC
rnacentral:lncRNA from 1 species